rnacentral:rRNA from 1 species
GACGAACGCUGGCGGCGUGCUUAACACAUGCAAGUCGAACGGAAAGGCCCUGCUUUUGUGGGGUGCUCGAGUGGCGAACGGGUGAGUAACACGUGAGUAACCUGCCCUUGACUUUGGGAUAACUUCAGGAAACUGGGGCUAAUACCGGAUAGGAGCUCCUGCUGCAUGGUGGGGGUUGGAAAGUUUCGGCGGUUGGGGAUGGACUCGCGGCUUAUCAGCUUGUUGGUGAGGUAGUGGCUUACCAAGGCUUUGACGGGUAGCCGGCCUGGGAGGGUGACCGGCCACAUUGGGACUGAGAUACGGCCCAGACUCCUACGGGAGGCAGCGGUGGAGAAUAUUGCACAAUGGGCGGAAGCCUGAUGCAGCAACGCCGCGUGCGGGAUGACGGCCUUCGGGUUGUAAACCGCUUUCGCCUGUGACGAAGCGUGAGUGACGGUAAUGGGUAAAGAAGCACCGGCUAACUACGUG